CGAUGGUUCAUUCAAAUUUCUGCCCUAUCAACUUUCGAUGGUAGAGUAGUGGUCUACCAUGGUUGGCAACGGGUAACGGGGAAUUAGGGUUCUAUUCCGGAGAGGGAGCCUGAGAAACGGUACCACAUCCAAGGAAGGCAGCAGGCGCGCAAAUUACCCAAUCCCGACACGGGGAGGUAGUGACAAUAAAUACUGAUACAGGGCUCUUUUGGGUCUUGUGAAUUUGGAAUGAGUACAAUUUAAAUCCCUUAACGAGGAACAAUUGGAGGGCAAGUCUGGUGCCAGCAAACCGCGGUAAAAUUCCAGCUCCAAUAGCGUAUAUUAAAGUUGUUGCAGUUAAAAAGCUCGUAGUUUGAACCCUUUGGGCCUGGCUUGGGCCGGUCCGCUCACCGCGUGGCAACUGGUCCGGCCGGGUCUUUCCUUCCUUGGGGAGCCGAUGGCCCUUCACUUGGGUGGUUGUCCGGG
rnacentral:rRNA from 1 species